rnacentral:rRNA from 1 species
AGAAUCAACGCUGGCGGCGUGCCUAACACAUGCAAGUCGAACGAGAAAGGGUAGCAAUACCUGAGUAAAGUGGCGCACGGGUGAGUAACACGUGACUAACCUACCUUUUAGUGGGGGGAUAACCUAGGGAAACCUGGGCUAAUACCGCAUAAUACCUACGGGUCAAAGCAGCAAUGCGCUGAAUGAGGGGGUCGCGGUCGAUUAGUUAGUUGGCAGGGUAAUGGCCUACCAAGACUGUGAUCGAUAUCCGGCCUGAGAGGGCGCACGGACACACUGGAACUGAAACACGGUCCAGACUCCUACGGGAGGCAGCAGUGGGAAUUUGCGCAAUGGGGGAAACCCUGACGCAGCAACGCCGCGUGGAGGAUGAAGUCCCUUGGGACGUAAACUCCUUUCGAUCGGGAAGAUAAUGACGGUACCGAUAUAAGAAGCCCCGGCUAACUUCGCGCCAGCAGCCGC